UAUCCUUAUAGGAUGGAUCUUCCUUAUAUGACAUUUUGACCUCAAAUCAGGUAGGACUACCCCGCUGAACUUAAGCAUAUCAAUAAGCGGAGGAAAAGAAACUAACAAGGAUUCCCCUAGUAACUGCGAGUGAACCGGGAAAAGCUCAAAUUUUGAAUACUGGCAGUCCUUUGAGGUUGUCCCGAAUUGUAAUNCUAGAGAAGUGUUUUUCCUG
rnacentral:rRNA from 1 species